rnacentral:misc_RNA from 1 species
UGGGAUGUUUGAUAUGGAUGUAGUGUGAACGGGAUUGUGCCUGGGGUGGUCUGAGUUGUCUUUGAGGUUACUCGAGCGACCGGCGCCCCACUUGUUAACCACCUUACCAUCUCUUGACUUACCUGGGAUCACUCCCAUGGGAUAAAA